CGGUAAUUCCAGCUCCAAUAGCGUAUACUAAAGUUGUUGCAGUUAAAAAGCUCGUAGUUGGAUUUCUGCGGGGACGGAGCGGCCGGACGCAACUUGCGUCUCGAGCUAGCGCUUUCCCCACAUCCUGCCGCGAACCGUGCUACCAUUAGCUUGGUGGCGCUGGGGAUCGGCUCGAUUACUUUGAGAAAAAUAGAGUGUUCAAAGCAGGCCACACGCCUUGAAUAAGUUAGCAUGGAAUAAUGAUUAAGGACUUCGGUUCUAUUUUGUUGGUGUUCGGGACUGAAGUAAUGAUUGAUAGGGACAGUUGGGGCGGUCUGUAUUCCAAAGCGAGAGGUGAAAUUCUUAGACCUUCGGAAGACAAACAGCUGCGAAAGCGUUCCGCAAGGAUGUUCCCUUUGAUCAAGAACGAAAGUUGGGGGAUCGAAGACGAUCAGAUACCGUCGUAGUCUCAACUAUAAACUAUACCAGCUAGGGAUCGGCCAACGUUUAACUUUAUCGACUUGGUCGGCACCUUAUGAGAAAUCAAAGCAUCUGGGUUCCGGGGGGAGUAUGGUCGCAAGGCUGAAACUUAAAGGAAUUGACGGAAGGGCACCACCAGGCGUGGAGCCUGUGGCUUAAUUUGACUCAACACGGGAAAACUUACCAGGUCCAGACAUAGGAAGGAUUGACAGAUUGAUAGCUCUUUCUUGAUUCUGUGGGUGGUGGUGCAUGGCCGUUUUUAGUCGGUGAAGUGAUUUGUCUGCUUAAUUGCGUUAACGGACGAGACCCCAGCCUGCUAAAUAGCGCGGCCGAGCUUUGCUCGGUGCGAGCUUCUUAGAGGGACCGUGAUGCGCGAUAGCACAAGGAAGUUUGGGGCAACAACAGGUCUGUGAUGCCCUUAGAUGUUCUGGUCCGCACACGGGCUACACUGGCGCCUGCAACGAGCAUAUCAGCUGGCCCGAGAGGGUCUUGGCUAAUCUUUGGAACCGGCGCCGUGCUUGGGAUUGACCAUUGCAAUUGUUGGUCAUGCAACGAGGAAUGCCUUGUAAACGCGAGUCAUCAGCUCGCAUUGAAUACGUCCCUGCCCUUUGUACACACCGCCCGUCGCUCCUACCGAUGAAUGUUCCGAUGAAAUUUUCGGAGAGCGCCGGAGAACGGGGCUCUGCCCUGCAGAACUGGAGGCUCAAAGUCACUUAAAUCUGAACAUUUCGAGGAAGGAGAAGUCGUAACAAGGUAACC
rnacentral:rRNA from 1 species